rnacentral:rRNA from 1 species
UACGUAGGGGGCAAGCGUUGUCCGGAAUCAUUGGGCGUAAAGCGCGUGUAGGCGGCCCGAUAAGUCCGCUGUGAAAGUCCAGGGCUCAACCCUGGGAUGCCGGUGGAUACUGUCGGGCUCGAGUCCGGAAGAGGAGUGUGGAAUUCCUGGUGUAGCGGUGAAAUGCGCAGAUAUCUGGAGGAACACCGGUGGCGAAGGCGGCAUCCUGGACCAAUAUUGACGCUGAGGAGCGAAAGCCAGGGGAGCAAACGGG